CAACGACCCGAAGGGCGAAGCGCGCAGCGCUGAGUCAUCCUUCCCCCACCACCA
rnacentral:sRNA from 16 species